CUACAUGCUUCAGCAGGAGGUCUACCCAAAUUACAACAAUACAGAGAUUAAAAUGGUACGUGCACAAGGAUGGUAUGAGAAUUUGUGAAGUAUUCCAUAUUUUU